rnacentral:rRNA from 1 species
ACGUAAUAAGGUUUCCGUAGGUGAACCUGCGGAAGGAUCAUU